AUUGAACGCUGGCGGCAGGCCUAACACAUGCAAGUCGAGCGGAUGAAGGGAGCUUGCUCCUGGAUUCAGCGGCGGACGGGUGAGUAAUGCCUAGGAAUCUGCCUGGUAGUGGGGGAUAACGUCCGGAAACGGGCGCUAAUACCGCAUACGUCCUGAGGGAGAAAGUGGGGGAUCUUCGGACCUCACGCUAUCAGAUGAGCCUAGGUCGGAUUAGCUAGUUGGUGGGGUAAAGGCCUACCAAGGCGACGAUCCGUAACUGGUCUGAGAGGAUGAUCAGUCACACUGGAACUGAGACACGGUCCAGACUCCUACGGGAGGCAGCAGUGGGGAAUAUUGGACAAUGGGCGAAAGCCUGAUCCAGCCAUGCCGCGUGUGUGAAGAAGGUCUUCGGAUUGUAAAGCACUUUAAGUUGGGAGGAAGGGCAGUAAGUUAAUACCUUGCUGUUCUGACGUUACCAACAGAAUAAGCACCGGCUAACCUCGUG
rnacentral:rRNA from 1 species